rnacentral:lncRNA from 1 species
CAAGGUCUUAUAAUAGGGAAGAGGAACGUAAGGUUGUUAAGACUUAUAAUAAAGAACAUAAGCUUAAGGAUCUUACAAAUUCUUUAAAGGGAGUUUUAUAUCUUUUUCAACAUUUUUUCUACUAUAUAAAGGCAUUAGUUCAGAUAUUUGGAUCGACAUGUCAACUUUUUGGUCCAUCUUUAAUUUAUUAAUGAGUCUUUAGUCAUUUCAUCUAUUGACAGAUGCUAUGCGUCUUUCUUGCAUACAACCAAACACAUAAUUUAGUCCUUCUCCCAAAGUUCUUUAUACUCACCAGAAAGUUUCUGUUUGUUUGAUUCUUUAAUUUCAAAUUUUGCUUUCAGAGAAAAUUAAAAAGCUGCAGCGGCGAGGAUGUUGGAUUUUCAUCAAUAAAAAGAUGAGAUCUCAAAGAAGAUCAGACAUCCAAAAAUACAUGCUGCUAAAAGAGUUUGGUGACAUGAAUUAUAGUCUGUUACAACCUGACAAAUCUGAGGCGUUUUUAGCCCAACAAAGAAGAAACAUAGAUCGACUAGAAAUAAAGACAACCUUUGAAAAAAUGUUACUUCUUUACCAAAGUUCCUAAUUUUUCUGUUGUUGUUUUCAGUAAUGAGGAGAAUCUAUGUAUUUUAAAGUACACAUGGACACAGUAAUUAUAAUGCAAGCUAAUAGGGCUUUCAAUCAGAUGGAGUUCUGUAUGUUGAUGAUGUUCAGGUUGACUCCUAAGCUAAUG